rnacentral:tRNA from 3 species
GCUCGGGUGGUGGAACUGGUAGACACGCAGGUCUCAGAAGCCUGUGCCUUCACCGGCGUGGGGGUUCAAGUCCCCCCUCGAGCA